CUCUAAUACAGACCACAAGAAAGGUCACACAGGUACAAAAGGCACCGGAGACUGACGCGAUUCCACUUUAAGUAUAGAAAAACGAAAUUUAUUAACAAUAUUUAAAAAUGUACACUCUUUCUAAAACCGACCUUGUUGGCGAUGCCAAGACAUAACGGUAGUAAGUGGCACAGUAUUAAUCUAAUCCUCAAGGGCCCCCCCUGACUUAAUUAAGUGUGCCACCGAAACAGUCACCAGGCACAGGGCUGAGGGCUUACCAGGCAGCGAUGACGAACUGGAGGGGAGAAGGGAAGGGUCUUAAUGCACCACACGUGAACAAAACAAAAUCACUGACGAACACCCAAGUGCACUAUUGUACAGGGAGUGAAGGGACCACCACCUCCGGGGGAAAUCAGUCAGCCACCAGCCACCUGGCCCAACAGCUCCUGUCCAAGGAGAAGAGGCAAACUGUUAGUCACGGAAAAAAGAGGCACACCUACAUAGAUCUCAAAUAAACUGCCACACCACCACACUAGGCUGGGCCCACGAGGUCACCACCAAGGCCAAUUACGCCAACAUGCACCCCUUACUCCCUCGCCCAGUCAACCCAAUAAAACCAAAAAAAAGGAAAACAAAAUUUACAAACCCAAACAAAAAAAAGAUAACUGAAUAAUUUAAAUAUGCAAUCACAACAAAUAAGUAAAUAAACAAAACUAACUAAUCAAGAAUCCCAAGAUCUAUACUAACACUAAUAAUUCUAAUACUAACAAUUCUAAUACUAACAAUUCUAAUAUAAAAAAAACAGCAACAACCCUAAUAAUAAUAAUAAUAAUACUCUCAAUAACAGGCGUGCUGGGCAAGAGGCAUACGCACACCAAGAUCGUUGUUAUUUUAUUUUAUUUUUUUUUUUAAAAACAUCAUACAACAACAAAACAGCUGCCGAUGAGCAGAGAGCUUGCCGCGAUGAACUGGUGACAGAACAUCAGUAGCCCGCUUCAGGAAGUAGAGCCGCCCGUCAAUGUAGCCACAGCUUUUCAGGCAACAGGGGAGACAGCCGCAGAAAAAUGCAGCUCACUCAGAAAUUAAAUGCAGCGCGUGAAUUAUUACGCCCGGCUCCCAGCCUUCAGCCAGAAUACGGCCCGACUCUG
ensembl:lncRNA